AAAGCGUGCGCAGGCGGUUAUGUAAGACAGAUGUGAAAUCCCCGGGCUCAACCUGGGAACUGCAUUAGUGACUGCAUAGCUGGAGUACGGCAGAGGGGGAUGGAAUUCCGCGUGUAGCAGUGAAAUGCGUAGAUAUGCGGAGGAACACCGAUGGCGAAGGCAAUCCCCUGGACCUGUACUGACGCUCAUGCACGAAAGCGUGGGGAGCAAACAGGAUUAGAUACCCGUGU
rnacentral:rRNA from 1 species